rnacentral:rRNA from 1 species
UACGUAGGGUGCGGGCGUUAAUCGGAGUUACUGGGCGUAAAGCGCGCGCAGGCGGCUUUUUAAGCCAGAUGUGAAAUCCCCGGGCUUAACCUGGGAACUGCAUUUGGAACUGGAAGGCUAGAGUGCGGCAGAGGGGGGUAGAAUUCCACGUGUAGCGGUGAAAUGCGUAGAGAUGUGGAGGAAGACCGAGGGCGAAGGCAGCGCCCUGGGUCGAAACUGACGCUGAUGCGCGAAAGCGUGGGGAGCAAACAGG